ACCAUUCACCAUACAUUCCAUAGAAAAUUAAAAGAAAAACAAGUAUUCUGAAGCCAAAUGCUCUUGGAUGGGCAGUUGAAUAGGGAGAGAGAAUUUUUCUCCUUCAUAUUGACUGUAGUAUAUCACUUUGAGGUCGUGAGUACCUUGUGAAUUGAUAUAAAUUCUGGCAUGCAUCUUUGAGGAGAGUGGCACAGCCAAACAUCAUCCUAAAAGCGAAUCAGCU